GACGAACGCUGGCGGCGCGCCUAACACAUGCAAGUCGAACGAAGCUUUGGAGCUUGCUCCAAAUGACUGAGUGGCGGACGGGUGAGUAACGCGUGAGUAACCUGCCUUUUUGAGGGGGAUAACGUUUGGAAACGAACGCUAAUACCGCAUAAAGUACCGAGACCGCAUGGUCAUGGUACCAAAGGAGUAAUCCGCAGAAAGAUGGACUCGCGUCCAAUUAGCUAGUUGGUGGGGUAACAGCCUACCAAGGCGACGAUUGGUAGCCGGACUGAGAGGUUGAACGGCCACAUUGGGACUGAGACACGGCCCAGACUCCUACGGGAGGCAGCAGUGGGGAAUAUUGCACAAUGGAGGAAACUCCGAUGCAGCGACGCCGCGUGAGGGAAGAAGGUUUUCGGAUUGUAAACCUCUGUCCUUGGUGAAGAUAAUGACGGUAGCCAAGGAGGAAGCCACGGCUAACUACGUGCCAGCAGCCGCGGUAAUACGUAGGUGGCAAGCGUUGUCCGGAAUUACUGGGUGUAAAGGGAGCGUANGCGGGACGAUAAGUUGAAUGUUAAAUCUAUGGGCUCAACCCAUAGCAGCGUUCAAAACUGUCGUUCUUGAGUGAAGUANAGGCAGGCGGAAUUCCUAGUGUACGGUGAAAUGCGUAAA
rnacentral:rRNA from 1 species